CAGUCGCCGCGGUAAUACGCAGGUGGCAAGCGUUGUCCGGAAUUAUUGGGCGUAAAGGGCUCGCAGGCGGUUUCUUAAGUCUGAUGUGAAAGCCCCCGGCUCAACCGGGGAGGGUCAUUGGAAACUGGGAAACUUGAGUGCAGAAGAGGAGAGUGGAAUUCCACGUGUAGCGGUGAAAUGCGUGGAGAUGUGGAGGAACACCAGUGGCGAAGGCGACUCUCUGGUCUGUAACUGACGCUGAGGAGCGAAAGCGUGGGGAGCGAACAGGAUUAGAUACCCCGGUAGUCCCUGUCUCUUAUAC
rnacentral:rRNA from 1 species